rnacentral:tRNA from 1 species
GGAGUUGUGGCUCAGCGGUAGAGCGCUCAUCUCGUAGGAGCAGGACCCUGGGUUCGAUUCUCAGCACCA